rnacentral:lncRNA from 1 species
CAGCUUCUUCUUUUUUUAAUGGUUGAUUCUGUUGGGUGAACAGGUUGAUUUGAUGUUGGCAAAUUCAGCUGAUGAAAUUAGGCCUUUUCUGAAUCAUUCCGAAGAGCAAGUAGGUGAGAACAAGUUGCCCGGAAUUUGUUUAAUACUCCACGUACUCAAAUUCAUGUGAAUUCUUUUUCCUAGUUUUUCAGUUCACCAGCGGGCGGGCAC